rnacentral:rRNA from 1 species
GAUAAACGCUGGCGGUGUACAUAAGACAUGCAAGUCGAACGGGAGAAGACUGGAAGAUUUAUCUACUAGUUGGACACCGUGGCGGACGGGUGAGUAACACGUAAGCAACCUGCCUAUAAGAGGGGAAUAACAGUGAGAAAUUACUGAUAAUACCGCAUAAGCUGGAGGUAUCGCAUGAUACAUUCAGAAAAGAUUUAUCGCUUAUAGAUGGGCUUGCGUCUGAUUAGCUAGUUGGUGAGAUAACAGCUCACCAAGGCGACGAUCAGUAGCCGGAUUGAGAGGUUGAACGGCCACAUUGGGACUGAGACACGGCCCAGACUCCUACGGGAGGCAGCAGUCGGGAAUAUUGCACAAUGGAGGAAACUCUGAUGCAGUGACACCGCGUAUAGGAAGAAGGUCUUAGGAUUGUAAGCUAUUGUCGUGUGAGAAGAAAAUGACCAUCACAGGAGGAAGCCCUGGCUAAAUAUGUGCCAGCAGCCGCGGUAAUACAUAUGGGGCGAGCGUUAUCCGGAUUUAUUGGGUGUAAAGGGUGCGUAGGCGGGAAAAUAAGUCAGUAUGUGAAAUCCCUCGGCUCAACUGAGGAACUGCAACUGAAACUAUUUUUCUUGAGUGUUGAAGGGGAAAGUGGAAUUCCUAGUGUAGCGGUGAAAUGCGUAGAGAUUAGGAGGAACACCAGUGGCGAAGGCGACUUUCUGGGCAACAACUGACGCUGAGGCACGAAAGUGUGGGGAGCAAACAGGAUUAGAUACCCUGGUAGUCCACACCGUAAACGAUGGAUACUAGGAGUUGGCAAAAAUAUUGUCGGUUCCGCAGUUAACGCAUUAAGUAUCCCACCUGGGGAGUACGACCGCAAGGUUAAAACUCAAAGGAAUUGACGGGGGCCCGCACAAGCAGUGGAGUAUGUGGUUUAAUUCGAAGCAACGCGAAGAACCUUACCAGGGCUUGA